UACGAAGGGGGCUAGCGUUGCUCGGAAUUACUGGGCGUAAAGGGAGCGUAGGCGGAUAGUUCAGUCAGAGGUGAAAGCCCUGGGCUCAACCUUGGAACUGCCUUUGAUACUGGCUAUCUUGAGUUUGGGAGAGGUGUGUGGAACUCCGAGUGUAGAGGUGAAAUUCGUAGAUAUUCGGAAGAACACCAGUGGCGAAGGCGACACACUGGCCCAAUACUGACGCUGAGGCUCGAAAGCGUGGGGAGCAAACAGG
rnacentral:rRNA from 1 species